rnacentral:rRNA from 1 species
CCUACGGGUGGCUGCAGUGAGGAAUAUUGGUCAAUGGACGAGAGUCUGAACCAGCCAAGUAGCGUGAAGGAUGACUGCCCUAUGGGUUGUAAACUUCUUUUAUAUGGGAAUAAAAUGUUCCACGUGUGGGAUUUUGUAUGUACCAUAUGAAUAAGGAUCGGCUAACUCCGUGCCAGCAGCCGCGGUAAUACGGAGGAUCCGAGCGUUAUCCGGAAUCAUUGGGCAUAAAGAGUUCGUAGGCGGCAUGUAAAGUCAGGUGUUAAAGGCGCAGGCUCAACCUGUGUAUGGCACUUGAUACUUGCAAGCUGGAAUGCGGUAGAGGUAAAGGGAAUUCCUGGUGUAGCGGUGAAAUGCUUAGAUAUCAGGAGGAACAUCGGUGGCGUAAGCGCUUUACUGGGCCGUAACUGACACUGAGGUACGAAAGCGUGGGGAGCAAACAGGAUUAGAUACCCUGGUAGUC